CAGUUAGCUGGUGACACUUGG
rnacentral:misc_RNA from 1 species